AUACUUACCGGGCACAGGAGAGACUGUGAUCACCAAGAUGGUUUUCUCAGGGCGGGGCUCUUCUGUUGCUCUCGGGACGUGCUGACCCCUGCGAUUUCCCCGUGUGUGGGAAACUACCGCAGAGUUUGUGCUAAUGGGGGACUACCUUCGUGCUCUUCCCCU
ensembl:snRNA U1 U1 spliceosomal RNA